rnacentral:rRNA from 1 species
GACGAACGCUGGCGGCGUGCCUAACACAUGCAAGUCGAGCGGGGGGAAGAAUUCGUUUUUCUCUUUAGCGGCGGACGGGUGAGUAACACGUGGGUAACCUGCCUCAAAGAGGGGGAUAGCCUUCCGAAAGGAAGAUUAAUACCGCAUAAUAUCAGGAAGCUGCAUGGCAUUCUGAUUAAAGGAGCAAUCCGCUUUGAGAUGGACCCGCGGCGCAUUAGCUAGUUGGUGAGGUAACGGCCCACCAAGGCGACGAUGCGUAGCCGACCUGAGAGGGUGAUCGGCCACAUUGGAACUGAGACACGGUCCAGACUCCUACGGGAGGCAGCAGUGGGGAAUAUUGCACAAUGGGGGAAACCCUGAUGCAGCAACGCCGCGUGAGUGAUGAAGGCCUUCGGGUCGUAAAGCUCUUUGAUCAGGGACGAUAAUGACGGUACCUGAAAAACAAGCCACGGCUAACUACGUGCCAGCCGCCGCCGUAAAAC